rnacentral:rRNA from 1 species
GAUAGAAAAUAGGUGCCCGUACCGCAAACCGACACAGGUAGUCAAGAUGAGAAUUCUAAGGUGAGCGAGCGAACUCUCGUUAAGGAACUCGGCAAAAUGACCCCGUAACUUCGGGAGAAGGGGUGCUCUUUAGGGUUAACGCCCAGAAGAGCCGCAGUGAAUAGGCCCAAGCGACUGUUUAUCAAAAACACAGGUCUCUGCUAAACCGUAAGGUGAUGUAUAGGGGCUGACGCCUGCCCGGUGCUGGAAGGUUAAGAGGAGUGGUUAGCUUCUGCGAAGCUACGAAUCGAAGCCCCAGUAAACGGCGGCCGUAACUAUAACGGUCCUAAGGUAGCGAAAUUCCUUGUCGGGUAAGUUCCGACCCGCACGAAAGGCGUAACGAUUUGGGCACUGUCUCAACGAGAGACUCGGUGAAAUCAUAGUACCUGUGAAGAUGCAGGUUACCCGCGACAGGACGGAAAGACCCCGUGGAGCUUUACUGUAGCCUGAUAUUGAAAUUCGGCACAGCUUGUACAGGAUAGGUAGGAGCCUUUGAAACGUGAGCGCUAGCUUACGUGGAGGCGCUGGUGGG